rnacentral:misc_RNA from 1 species
GUAAACGUCUGCCUUUUCUGUUAGCUGACCGCGUGCUAAGUAUUCUGGAGCCAUAUAUCCUAAGAUGCCAGCAACGGCAGUGCUUAUGUGACUCUUGUCUUCUUGGAAUGACCUGACCAAUCCAAAAUCAGCAAUCUUUGCACGGAGCCUCGAGUCCAACAGGAUGUUGCUUGCCUUGAUGUCUCUGUGAAUUAUUCGUGUAUUUGUGUUCUCGUGUAGGUAUACCAUUCCUUCUGCUUUCCCUAUAAUUAUCUCAAAUCUUUUCUCCCAAUU